UACGGAGGAUCCAAGCGUUAUCCGGAAUUACUGGGCGUAAAGAGUUGCGUAGGUGGCAUAGUAAGCGGACAGUGAAAGCGUGUGGCUCAACCAUACACACAUUGCCCGAACUGCUAAGCUAGAGUAUGAGAGAGGUAGAUGGAAUUCCCUGUGUAGGAGUGAAAUCCGUAGAUAUAGGGAGGAACACCGAUGGCGUAGGCAGUCUACUGGCUCAUUACUGACACUCAGGCACGAAAGCGUGGGGAGCAAACGGG
rnacentral:rRNA from 1 species